AUCCAGCUGACGAGUCCCAAAUAGGACGAAACGCACGUCCGGGAU
rfam:Schistosoma mansoni strain Puerto Rico chromosome 1, complete genome